GACGAACGCUGGCGGCGUGCUUAACACAUGCAAGUCGAACGGAAAGGCCCUGCUUUUGUGGGGUGCUCGAGUGGCGAACGGGUGAGUAACACGUGAGUAACCUGCCCUUGACUUUGGGAUAACUUCAGGAAACUGGGGCUAAUACCGGAUAGGAGCUCCUGCUGCAUGGUGGGGGUUGGAAAGUUUCGGCGGUUUGGGAUGGACUCGCGGCUUAUCAGCUUGUUGGUGGGGUAGUGGCUUACCAAGGCUUUGACGGGUAGCCGGCCUGAGAGGGUGACCGGCCACAUUGGGACUGAGAGACGGCCCAGACGCCUACGAGAGGCAGCAGUGGGGAAUAUUGCACAAUGGGCGGAAGCCUGAUGCAGCAACGCCGCGUGCGGGAUGACGGCCUUCGGGUUGUAAACCGCUUUCGACUGUGACGAAGCGUGAGUGACGGUAAUGGGUAAAGAAGCACCGGCUAACUACGUG
rnacentral:rRNA from 1 species